CAGUAUCUACCUGCUUCUGCUACAGAUUACUUUUAGAGAAAACGCGAAAUGGAUGGUCGGAAGAAAAGAAAAGGACAGAGGCAGAGAAUUAAAAAUGACAGGAAUCCCUCAGCGUCAGACUCACCUAAAUACCGCAAAAUAAGCCCCAGUCAGGGAUCAGGAUUCCCAUUCGUGCAGUAAGGCUCCUCCCAACAUCAACCUCAUCCUUCAUCAAGUCUCCAUCUGCUGCAUUUCUGCCAGCAUGUUUCAAGGCUUUGGGAGUCCUGCCCUACUUCUAAUCAGUCAUCUAAGCAGAGAAGCCCAGAUCUCCCUCUUGCUGCUUCCUGCAGUUCUUCCAGGGAGACACCGGGAUGAAGACAGCCAGCAGAGGCAAUCACUACAUCACAUUCUGCAUCCACCCCAGAGCUUCCUAACAGGGAUAUCUGCCCAAGACAUGUCACCCUUGUGGCUCACAGGUUAUUUUUACAAAUUGCAUUUUCACCAUAACCGUUUGCUUUAAUGUUAGUUCCUCUUCGUAUGCACUGAAUAGCAAUACAUCAUUCUCAUUCUCGUAUUCCUAUUCGCACGAGUCUCCUCAUGGUUAUCUUGUGUGGUUACUCUUCCUGUAUAUUACAUUCAUAAAAAGAAGUCUGUGAUUGGUUUGCAUGUAUGCACUAUUGUGACAAACAUCAGUAACUAUAUCAGUAACAUUUGUGUUUCCACAAAGUUCAGGGAUUAAAUCUUUAGGCUGAAUUAAACAGUUGCAAAAUCUGUUUAUUAGAUGUGUUGGUUUCAGUGCUGUACAUAAAUGAGAAUAUUAAUCUGUCUGUAACUUGAAUACAGUGAUUAAAAUGCU